AUGCUUUGGUGCUCCCUCCACCAAAUUGAUAAUUUUCAUUUUCUUUUCCCCCACUCCAGAAAGCAGCAGCACUCACUGUCACGAUCGCCGUCGCUGUCAGGUGGGCCCCACCGCAUCACCGAAAAGAGGAAGAGCAGAUAUCAUCAUCGCCCAUAUAUAAACCUCUCCACCUGCCUUCCUGGCCAAUUAUUUUCUUCCAGGCUCGGCUCCAGCGACCGACGCCCCCCCAAUGUUUCCACUAUUACCAAUCCGGCUCUCAGAAGUCUACUCUUCGUCCAGUGCGCGCGGAAAAGUAAUAAUAGCAACCAGGUCCCUCCAGUGAUUACCACCUGUCUCUGA
rnacentral:rRNA from 1 species